ACGCUGGCGGCAGGCUUAACACAUGCAAGUCGAACGGUAACAUAAAGAAGCUUGCUUCUUUGAUGACGAGUGGCGGACGGGUGAGUAAUGCUUGGGAAUCUAGCUUAUGGAGGGGGAUAACUACGGGAAACUGUAGCUAAUACCGCGUAAUAUCGAAAGAUUAAAGUGUGGGACCUUCGGGCCACAUGCCAUAGGAUGAGCCCAAGUGGGAUUAGGUAGUUGGUGAGGUAAAGGCUCACCAAGCCGACGAUCUCUAGCUGGUCUGAGAGGAUGACCAGCCACACUGGGACUGAGACACGGCCCAGACUCCUACGGGAGGCAGCAGUGGGGAAUAUUGCGCAAUGGGGGCAACCCUGACGCAGCCAUGCCGCGUGAAUGAAGAAGGCCUUCGGGUUGUAAAGUUCUUUCGGUAGUGAGGAAGGCAUUUAGUUUAAUAGACUAGGUGAUUGACGUUAACUACAGAAGAAGCACC
rnacentral:rRNA from 1 species